ensembl:miRNA
GGUUUUUCUGUGUUGCCCUGACUGUCCCAGCACUCGCUCUGUAGACCAGGCUGGUCUCAAACUCACAGAGAUCCACCUGCCUCUGCCUCCCGAGUGCUGGGAUUAAAGGCGUGCGCCACCAUCGCCCG